CGCUAGAUUGGGGCGGUUAUUUUGCGGCGGUUUUAUAAAACCCCUUCAAAUUAGAAUAAAAAGGGACAUUUUCGGUUCAACGGGGAAAAUUUUAAACUGUUCAAGGGAGGUUUUAAACCCCCUUAAUUAGAUAAAUUUUGGCACCCUUUUCUAAUCAUUGCAAUGUUAUUUUAAUUGAUUUAUUAAAUUUUUUUGCGCCUAAUUAUAUCCAUUUAUAUAUGAAAUUAAUAAUAAAUAAGAAUUAGAAUAGUCAUCAAAGGGGUUUUUAUUCACGUGAAAGCUCCAAACCUAUCGCUGCUUCUCAAGAGACACAACCACCACUACGAUUCCAGCCCACCGCCGUUGGCUUUCCAUCGUUGUUUACUGCUCACAACAGCCGUCCUCUACUCUUCGGUCGUCUUUCUCGUUAAGGUUGUCUAAAUAUUUUUGUGGCAUCUCAUGGAUUUGGAGUUAUAUAUUUGGAAGUUUUGUGGAAUCUCGUGAAUUUCCAUGUAUUAAAGUAGCAAGUGGGAGAUGCAAAAAUAUGGAGAAUUAUGAGCCUUACUGCUGCUAGCAUCGCUUUGGUUCUUUAACUAUAGAAGUAUUGAUAGAGGAUUAACUACAGUGAAACUGGGGAAUUUUUCAAAGUUGGAAGAUGAUCUGAUUUUCAUUAUUUACCUUAUCGUCAGACUUUCAAAGUCAUUAAGAAUGUUGUUGGCUUUAGCUACCUUCUUCUCCAGAAUUGUACCAUGUGGCAUCGACAGAGGACGGUGAAAUACAUGUGAUAGAUGAUAUUGGAAGAUAAUUGUUGAGGAUGAGAAAGAGAAUAAGGGAACCAAUGUUGAUAUUUAGUCUUAAAAUGUGAAAGAGGCGUCAUAAGUGGAGUUGAAGUCAGUUUUCUAAUUUGAAUAAAAAUACUUGUGAUUUCAACUGUUGCAAGUUUGUUUCUACAUGUCUUCUCCUUAUUUUUUAAAAGUGGGGAGUAAUACUUGACUGUUAGGUGGACUAACUAUAAAAGAAAUAUGUGCAUAUGGAAUGUGUCAGGUAUUAAAUGGAAAAGUUGGCUAUUUUAUACGGGGAGAUCAAGUUCCAGUUUUCAAUCAAUUUUUCACUUCUUCAUAAUCAUCUUUAUGUGGGCAUCAAGUUCACAAGGGAGCUAUUAUUAAGGCAGACUGGAUCACUUAAAUGUUGUUGUCACUUAAAUGUUGUUGUGAGUUUGAUAUGUCAAAGUUUUGGUGUGUCAAAGUUAUACAGUAUUUUUAGUAUAUUUGUCUAGUUUUUAUAGAGUUGUGGAUUAUUUGUUUAAGUAAAUUUUGUGUUUUAAUUUUUUACUUAUUAUAUUAUUAAUAUAAAAAUUAUCCUGACUUUUUUAAAAAUUAAUAAAAA